rnacentral:lncRNA from 1 species
CAAGCCUUUGGCCUUUGACUGAGAGUUACACCUCUGGCUUCCUUGGUUCUUGGGUCUUCUUAUUCCUUUUUUUUUUUUCUUUAUUUUUUGAGAUGGGGUCUCAUUUUGUCGCCCAGGCUGGAAUGCAAUGGUGCGAUCUCAGCUCACUGCAACCUCCACCUCCCAGGUUCAAGCAAUUCUCCUCCCUCAGCCUCCCAAAAGUAGCUGGGACUACAGGCGCCCGCCACCACGCCUGGCUAAUUUUUGUAUUUUUAUUAGAGACGCGGUUUCACCAUAUUGGCCAGGCUGGUUUUGAACUCCUGACCUUGUGAUCUGCCAGCCUCAGCCUCCCAAAGUGCUGGGAUUACAGGCGUGAGCCAUCAGCGGUUCUUGGGUUUCUGAUUUGAACAGAGCCAUGUUGCUUCUCUGGUUCUCCAGCGUGCAGAUGGCUUACCAUGGGACUUCUCCACCCCCAUAACCAGUGUGAAUCCUGUUUGACAAAGAAUAUCGCGCAGUCAGCAUUUCAGAGUGGCACGAAAGAGCCUGUGUUGUCAAACCACUUUGCCAGAGCUGCCUUCUCCCCACCCUGUUUGUUUGCCUGCCA